rnacentral:rRNA from 1 species
UACGGAGGGUGCGAGCGUUGUCCGGAAUCAUUGGGCGUAAAGGGCGCGUAGGUGGCCCGGUCAGUCUUUGGUGAAAGCGCGGGGCUCAACCCUGCGUCGGCCAGGGAUACUGCCGCGGCUCGAGCAUAGAUGACGUUGGCGGAAUAUGACAUGUAGUGGUGAAAUACUUAGAUAUGUCAUAGAACACCGAUUGCGAAGGCAGCUAACGAAACUAUAACUGACGCUGAGGCACGAAAGUGCGGGGAUCAAACAGG